UUCUGGGUAGACUAUGAUAAUGACAUUAUCUAUCUAUGAGUCUUGACCAAACUACGUGCCAGCAGUCGCGGUAAAACGUUAAAGACAAGUGUUAUUCAUGUUUAAUCGGUUUAAAGAGUCCCAAGACUGUUAAUAAAGCCCGUAAAGGGGACACAUUAACUAGAGUUAUAUGAAAAGGGGCUCUAAGGUACUGUCAUGUUUAGAGAUAAAAUUCCAAUACAGAUAAUGGCACCAUCAAAUGCGAACGCAUCCCCUUAUGUAAUAACUGACGUUGUCGGACGAAGGCUUAGAGAAGAAAAAUGGAUUAGAUACCCUCGUAUUCUAAGCAGAAAAUGAUGAAUGUCAUAGGUUGAAUAGAAUAAUACCGUAUUAUUAUUCUUUUUGUCUAUAAAUGAAAGUGUAAGCAUUCCACCUCAAGAGUAAUUUGGCAACAUUGGAACUGAAAUCAUUAGGCCGUUUUUGAAACCAGUAGUGAAGUAUGUUGUUUAAUUAGAUAACCCGCACAAAACCUUACCACUAUUUGAAUAAAUAUUUUUAGAUAUAUUUACAAUUGUUGCACGGUUGUCUUCAGUUAAUGUCGUGAGACAGGGUUACUCCUAACAAUCAACGCAAACCCUUACUUUAUUU
rnacentral:rRNA from 1 species